rnacentral:rRNA from 1 species
GGGUUGUGAGGUUAAGCGACUAAGCGUACACGGUGGAUGCCCUGGCAGUCAGAGGCGAUGAAGGACGUGCUAAUCUGCGAUAAGCGUCGGUAAGGUGAUAUGAACCGUUAUAACCGGCGAUUUCCGAAUGGGGAAACCCAGUGUGAUCCGUCACACUAUCAUUAACUGAAUCCAUAGGUUAAUGAGGCGAACCGGGGGAACUGAAACAUCUAAGUACCCCGAGGAAAAGAAAUCAACCGAGAUUCCCCCAGUAGCGGCGAGCGAACGGGGAGCAGCCCAGAGCCUGAAUCAGUAUGUGUGUUAGUGGAAGCGUCUGGAAAGGCGUGCGAUACAGGGUGACAGCCCCGUACACAAAAAUGCACAUGCUGUGAGCUCGAUGAGUAGGGCGGGACACGUGGUAUCCUGUCUGAAUAUGGGGGGACCAUCCUCCAAGGCUAAAUACUCCUGACUGACCGAUAGUGAACCAGUACCGUGAGGGAAAGGCGAAAAGAACCCCGGCGAGGGGAGUGAAAAAGAACCUGAAACCGUGUACGUACAAGCAGUGGGAGCCUCUUUAAUGGGGUGACUGCGUACCUUUUGUAUAAUGGGUCAGCGACUUAUAUUCUGUAGCAAGGUUAACCGAAUAGGGGAGCCGAAGGGAAACCGAGUCUUAACUGGGCGUUAAGUUGCAGGGUAUAGACCCGAAACCCGGUGAUCUAGCCAUGGGCAGGUUGAAGGUUGGGUAACACUAACUGGAGGACCGAACCGACUAAUGUUGAAAAAUUAGCGGAUGACUUGUGGCUGGGGGUGAAAGGCCAAUCAAACCGGGAGAUAGCUGGUUCUCCCCGAAAGCUAUUUAGGUAGCGCCUCGUGAAUUCAUCUCCGGGGGUAGAGCACUGUUUCGGCAAGGGGGUCAUCCCGACUUACCAACCCGAUGCAAACUGCGAAUACCGGAGAAUGUUAUCACGGGAGACACACGGCGGGUGCUAACGUCCGUCGUGAAGAGGGAAACAACCCAGACCGCCAGCUAAGGUCCCAAAGUCAUGGUUAAGUGGGAAACGAUGUGGGAAGGCCCAGACAGCCAGGAUGUUGGCUUAGAAGCAGCCAUCAUUUAAAGAAAGCGUAAUAGCUCACUGGUCGAGUCGGCCUGCGCGGAAGAUGUAACGGGGCUAAACCAUGCACCGAAGCUGCGGCAGCGACACUAUGUGUUGUUGGGUAGGGGAGCGUUCUGUAAGCCGUUGAAGGUGUGCUGUGAGGCAUGCUGGAGGUAUCAGAAGUGCGAAUGCUGACAUAAGUAACGAUAAAGCGGGUGAAAAGCCCGCUCGCCGGAAGACCAAGGGUUCCUGUCCAACGUUAAUCGGGGCAGGGUGAGUCGACCCCUAAGGCGAGGCCGAAAGGCGUAGUCGAUGGGAAACAGGUUAAUAUUCCUGUACUUGGUGUUACUGCGAAGGGGGGACGGAGAAGGCUAUGUUGGCCGGGCGACGGUUGUCCCGGUUUAAGCGUGUAGGCUGAUUUUCCAGGCAAAUCCGGAGAAUCAAGGCUGAGGCGUGAUGACGAGGCACUACGGUGCUGAAGCAACAAAUGCCCUGCUUCCAGGAAAAGCCUCUAAGCAUCAGGUAACAUCAAAUCGUACCCCAAACCGACACAGGUGGUCAGGUAGAGAAUACCAAGGCGCUUGAGAGAACUCGGGUGAAGGAACUAGGCAAAAUGGUGCCGUAACUUCGGGAGAAGGCACGCUGAUAUGUAGGUGAAGCGACUUGCUCGUGGAGCUGAAAUCAGUCGAAGAUACCAGCUGGCUGCAACUGUUUAUUAAAAACACAGCACUGUGCAAACACGAAAGUGGACGUAUACGGUGUGACGCCUGCCCGGUGCCGGAAGGUUAAUUGAUGGGGUCAGCCGCAAGGCGAAGCUCUUGAUCGAAGCCCCGGUAAACGGCGGCCGUAACUAUAACGGUCCUAAGGUAGCGAAAUUCCUUGUCGGGUAAGUUCCGACCUGCACGAAUGGCGUAAUGAUGGCCAGGCUGUCUCCACCCGAGACUCAGUGAAAUUGAACUCGCUGUGAAGAUGCAGUGUACCCGCGGCAAGACGGAAAGACCCCGUGAACCUUUACUAUAGCUUGACACUGAACAUUGAGCCUUGAUGUGUAGGAUAGGUGGGAGGCUUUGAAGUGUGGACGCCAGUCUGCAUGGAGCCGACCUUGAAAUACCACCCUUUAAUGUUUGAUGUUCUAACGUGGACCCGUGAUCCGGGUUGCGGACAGUGUCUGGUGGGUAGUUUGACUGGGGCGGUCUCCUCCUAAAGAGUAACGGAGGAGCACGAAGGUUGGCUAAUCCUGGUCGGACAUCAGGAGGUUAGUGCAAUGGCAUAAGCCAGCUUGACUGCGAGCGUGACGGCGCGAGCAGGUGCGAAAGCAGGUCAUAGUGAUCCGGUGGUUCUGAAUGGAAGGGCCAUCGCUCAACGGAUAAAAGGUACUCCGGGGAUAACAGGCUGAUACCGCCCAAGAGUUCAUAUCGACGGCGGUGUUUGGCACCUCGAUGUCGGCUCAUCACAUCCUGGGGCUGAAGUAGGUCCCAAGGGUAUGGCUGUUCGCCAUUUAAAGUGGUACGCGAGCUGGGUUUAGAACGUCGUGAGACAGUUCGGUCCCUAUCUGCCGUGGGCGCUGGAGAACUGAGGGGGGCUGCUCCUAGUACGAGAGGACCGGAGUGGACGCAUCACUGGUGUUCGGGUUGUCAUGCCAAUGGCACUGCCCGGUAGCUAAAUGCGGAAGAGAUAAGUGCUGAAAGCAUCUAAGCACGAAACUUGCCCCGAGAUGAGUUCUCCCUGAGACUUUAAGUCUCCUGAAGGAACGUUGAAGACGACGACGUUGAUAGGCCGGGUGUGUAAGCGCAGCGAUGCGUUGAGCUAACCGGUACUAAUGAACCGUGAGGCUUAACCUUACAACGCCGAAG